rnacentral:tRNA from 1 species
GGGAGAUUGGUGGAAUUGGCAGACACGCUAGUCUUAGGAACUAGUGGGGCAACCCAUGCAGGUUCAAGUCCUGUAUCUCCCA